CCAGUCUUGAACUUCAACUUCCAGAUCCA
rnacentral:piRNA from 1 species